GAAGAACCCCCGCGAAAUGAAGUGAAUGCCGGAUGUCUUUGGGGUGGGUCGAGCUGCAAUCACCUGCUUCGCUAUCUUUGUGUAAACUAAUGCUUUGCUUCACUGAAACGGCAAAGGAAGAUAAAAGAAGCUAACUACUUCAAGCCUAGAAGUCCACUUCUCUCUCUUCUCUCUAUUGACGUUAUUUGUGCGAGCAUUGAGGCCUCAUUGUCGGUGACCAGUGGGUUGUUGCAAGUAAUAGAUCUCAGGAACUUCGGGUGAAAGCAAGGAACCGUGGGGAAGGGAUCCCAGUGCCUAGGGUUUGGAAGUUUCUUCUGACAGCUCAAUCUAGGUGGAUUGAUUGGGAAUCUGGACUGGGAGACAGCUUCCUCGGAGCUGAGUCCAAAUCAGAUCAAUAAUGGAGCUCCGUGCGACGCUUUGUCAAAUCAGAGCGAUUUCCGUAUUUGGAUAAAGGUUUAGCGGAGUGGCACGGUGUCAUAUUGCUGAUUACUCAUCGCGUCGUUUUGUUUCGCUGUAAUGAUUGUUUGUUUGUUGGAGGAAGUCCCAAUUGUGUUUCUAAGGUGUAGCGUCCGGUUGCCUUUCUGAUUCUCCGGGAAAGCGGAAAGGAAAAUGGCAAUGGCAGUGGCAGUGGCGGUUUGAUAGAUUUUAGUAUAUCUCCUAUACUUUUGGGGAAUAGCUGUUUUAGUUGUAAAUUAAAUCUGGAAAAUGCCUGGUGGCCGGAGGAGGAGAAUUCAUUUUAGUAAACUAUAUUCGUUCUUGUGUUUACGAUCUUCAUUUACAGCUGAGCACAGCCAAAUUGGGAAGAAAGGUUACUCGAGGGUUGUAUAUUGUAAUGAUUCCGAUAAUCCGGAAGCAGUUCAGCGUAGUUACAGAGGUAACUAUGUUUCCACGACAAAGUACACAGCCGUGAAUUUUAUCCCCAAGUCACUGUUUGAGCAAUUUAGGAGAGUUGCAAAUUUAUAUUUUCUUGUGGUAGCCUGUGUUUCAUUCAGUCCAUUGGCUCCCUAUUCGGCCUUUAGUGUUCUUGCGCCUCUGAUGGUGGUGAUUGGAGCUACUAUGGCCAAGGAAGCGGUGGAAGAUUGGAGACGCAGAAAGCAGGACGUAGAGGCUAACAAUCGACGUGCCAAAGUGUAUGAUAACAAGAGUGGUAUUUUCGUGGAAACCAAAUGGAAGAAACUACAUGUUGGUGAUCUUGUUAAGGUUUACAAGGAUGAAUUCUUCCCUGCUGAUCUGCUUUUGCUUUCAUCUAGCUAUGAAGAUGGGGUUUGUUAUGUUGAAACCACAAACCUUGAUGGAGAGACUAAUCUAAAGUUGAAGCAUUCUUUGGAAGUCACAUCAUCUCUACGCAAUGAAAAUUCGUUUCAGAAGUUUAAGGCAGUGAUUAAAUGUGAGGACCCAAACGAAGAUCUUUAUUCCUUUGUUGGAACUUUGUAUUAUAAUAAUGGUCAAGAGCUCCCACUUUCACUACAGCAGAUUCUUCUAAGAGAUUCUAAACUUCGAAACACUGAUUAUGUUUAUGGGGUCAUUGUGUUUACUGGGCAUGACACCAAAGUGAUGCAAAAUGCAACUGACCCUCCUUCUAAGAGGAGUAAGAUUGAGAGGAAAAUGGAUAAGAUUGUGUACAUCCUUUUUAGUACUCUAGUUUCGAUAUCAUUCAUUGGAUCUUUCUUUUUUGGAAUCGAAACUAAGAAAGAUAUUCACAGGGGAAAAUACAGAAGGUGGUAUCUUCUUCCAGACAAUACAACUGUGUUUUAUGAUCCCAAAAGAGCUUCACUUGCUGCAUUUCUUCAUUUCUUGACAGGCCUUAUGUUGUAUGGAUAUCUGAUCCCAAUAUCAUUGUAUGUAUCCAUUGAAAUUGUGAAGGUUCUACAGAGUAUAUUUAUCAAUCAAGAUCAGGAUAUGUAUUAUGAUGUAGCAGAUAGACCUGCCAGGGCAAGGACAUCUAAUCUGAAUGAGGAACUUGGGCAAGUUGACACUAUACUAUCUGACAAAACAGGUACUUUGACAUGCAAUUCCAUGGAAUUUGUUAAAUGUUCAAUAGCAGGCACUGCAUAUGGCCGUGGCAUGACCGAAGUCGAGAUAGCUCUAGCAAGGAGAAAAGGGGAUACAAAACCUGGAAUUGGUGACAAUUUUGCUGACUUACCUGGAAGUACCAGUGAUGUUAUGGACUCAAGAAGUUCAAUCAAAGGUUUCAACUUCAGAGAUGAACGCCUUAUGAAUGGGCAGUGGGUUAAUCAACCUUGUCCAGAUGUCAUACAAAUUUUUUUUUGUGUACUAGCAAUCUGCCACACAGCCAUUCCAGAUGUGAAUAAAGAAUCAGAUGAAAUUUCUUAUGAAGCUGAGUCCCCAGAUGAAGCUGCCUUUGUCAUUGCUGCAAGGGAGCUUGGUUUUGAAUUCUUUGAAAGAACCCAAACGAGCAUCUCAUUGCAUGAACUAGAUUAUGGGAGUGGAAAAAAGGUUGAUAGGUCAUACAAGCUUCUCCAUGUCCUAGAGUUCAGUAGCUCUCGUAAAAGAAUGUCUGUCAUUGUGAGGAAUAUGGAGAAUCAAUUGUUACUCCUUUGCAAGGGUGCUGACAGUGUAAUGUUCGAAAGGCUCUCAGAACAUGGACGCCUGUUUGAGGUGGAGACCAAGAACCAUAUCAAGAAAUAUGCUGAGGCAGGUUUGCGAACAUUGGUAGUUGCAUAUCGUGAAUUAGGUGAAGAAGAGUACCGAGGGUGGGAAGAGGAGUUCUUAAAGACCAAAACUUCUGUCAGUGAAAGCCGAGAUGAAUUGGUGGAUGCAGCUGCUGAUAAGAUCGAAAGAGAUUUAAUUCUUCUUGGUGCUACAGCUGUUGAGGAUAAACUGCAAAAAGGGGUUCCUGAGUGCAUUGAGAAGCUUGCACAGGCUCAGAUUGAUAUAUGGGUCUUAACUGGUGAUAAGAUGGAGACGGCAAUUAAUAUUGGGUAUGCUUGUAGCUUGCUAAGGGAAGAAAUGAAGCAGAUAGUGAUUACACUAGAUUCACCUGAUAUAAAUGCCUUGGAGAAGCAAGGGGACAAGGAGUCUGUUGCAAAGGCUUCAAGUGAAAGUGUAGGAAAACAAAUAAGGGAAGGAAUAGCUCAAAUUGAUUCAACUAAAGAGAACUCUAUCACAUUUGGUUUGAUAAUCGAUGGCAAAUCCUUAGCUUUUGCUCUCAACAAGAAUCUGGAGAAGUCAUUUUUGGAUCUUGCAACAAAAUGUGCUUCUGUCAUUUGCUGUCGCUCAUCACCCAAACAGAAGGCUCUGGUUACAAGAUUGGUUAAAUUUGGAACAGGUAAGACAACAUUGGCAAUUGGUGAUGGGGCAAAUGAUGUUGGCAUGCUUCAAGAGGCUGAUAUUGGAGUUGGCAUUAGCGGUGUUGAAGGGAUGCAGGCUGUGAUGGCAAGUGACUAUGCAAUAGCUCAAUUCCGUUUUCUUGAACGACUGUUAUUGGUACAUGGCCAUUGGUGUUACAGACGAAUAUCAAUGAUGAUAUGCUACUUCUUCUACAAGAACAUUGCAUUUGGCUUUACUCUCUUUUGGUUUGAGGCUCAUACCUCCUUUUCUGGACAAGCUGCUUACAACGACUGGUACAUGUCAUUCUACAAUGUCUUCUUCACUUCACUUCCUGUGAUUGCUCUUGGUGUCUUUGAUCAGGAUGUUUCUGCACGACUUUGCCUCAAGGAUCGGAGGACCAGACGGAUGAUUGGCACGGUUUUUGAGUCUCAUGGCCUCUAUUAUCUAUCUUCCCCUACUUCCUUAGGUCCAUUGUCGAUUGGGGCACCCAUCUCUUCCCAAUCUCAAGAAGAUGGUUCCCAGUCUUUCUCGUAUUUCUUUCUUAGAGUGUGAGUCUUGUCAACUUGGGAAACAUAAUCGUAGUUCUUUCCCAAGUACAAGCAAUAAACGUGUUAGUUCUCCUUUUUUAAUAGUCCAUUCAGAUGUAUGGGGUCCCAGUUGUGUCAAUUCAAAAGACGGUUUUCGGUAUUUUGUAACAUUUAUUGAUGAUUUCUCUCGCACUACAUGGCUUUAUUUAAUGAAAACAUGUUCAUAAUUAUUUUCAGUAUUCACUACAUUUUGUGCUGAAAUUAUAACUCAAUUUAAUUUGGCUAUCCGUGUUCUUCGAAGUGAUAAUGCUCUUGAAAAUUUGUCUCUCCCAUUUAAAUCUUAUAUGGCAUCUGAUGGGAUUUUCACCAAAUUUUGUGUCCUGGAACCCCACAACAAAAUGGGGUGGCUGAACGCAAGAAUUGUCAUUUAAUUGAGACCGCUUGCACGCUCCUUCUUCACAUGCAUGUUCUGAUUCAAUUUUGGGGUGAUGCUGUCUUAACUGCAUGUUACUUAAUUAACUGCAUGCCAUCUUCUGUCCUUAAUGACCAGAAUGGGAUUCCUCAUUCUAUUUUUUUUCCUCGAGUUGACUUAUAUUCUCUCCCCCCUCAUGUCUUUGGGAGUACUUGCUUUGUUCACCAUCUUGCCUCAGGUCGUGAUAAGCUCUCUGCUCGUUCCAUCAAAUGUGUCUUUCCAGGUUAUUCUUGCCUUCAGAAGGGGUAUCGUUGCUACUCUCCUCAAUUCACUCGAUAUUUUGUUUCAACAGAUGUUAUCUUCUUUGAGUCAUCUCCUUAUUUUCCUUCUUUGUCUGAGGUCUCCGAGUCCGUGUCUGCUGGCUUACCUUUGCCUGUUCCUUUUCUUGACCUUUCAUUAUCUCCAUCUCCCCCCCGUUACCUUUCGCCUUGAUCGCCCCGAUCUUCAGGUCUAUCAAUGGCGUCCACAACCUGUGGCCCAACCAGCACUGCCUGUCAUCACUAGUCCGAGGGAGCCAUCUCCUAACUCAUCUCUGUGCCGGUUAGUUCUUCCUUCUCUGGUUCGUCACCUUCGGCUUCUGAUCUUGACUUAUCUAUUGCUCUUCGUAAAGGUACUCGUCAUCGCACCACUUUCCAUCCCAUUUCACACUUUGUUAGUUAUGAUUCUUUGUCCCCUAGAUAUUCUGUUUUCGUUUCGUCUUUAUCUUUUGUUUCUCUACCUAUAUCUAUUCCCGAAGCUCUUUCCCAUCCAGGGUGGCGGGCUGCUAUGGUUGAAGAAAUGUCUGCUUUACAUUCCACCGGGACUCAGGACUUGGGACUUGGUAUCUCUUCCCAAGGGUAAGUCUCUGUUGGUUGUCGCUGGGUUUACACUGUUAAAGUUGGCCCUAACGGCCAGGUUGAUCAUCUUAAGGGUCGGCUUGUUGCCAAAGGCUACACUCAGGUUUUUGGUCUUGAUUAUGGCGAUACAUUUUUUCAUGUUGCUAAGAUCUCAUCUGUUUUCCUUUUUUUAUCUCUCGCUACUAUGUUUCACUGGCCUCUUCAUUAAUUAGACAUAAAAAAUGCCUUCCUUCAUGGCGAUUUACAGGAAGAGGUGUAUAUGGAGCAACCUCCUAGCUUUGUUGCUCAGGGGGAGGCUGGGCUAGUGUGUCGUCUUCGGAAAUCUCUAUACGGUUUAAAAUAGUCUCCUCGAGUUUGGUUUGGUCGAUUCAGUUAAGUUGUUCUUAAGUUUGAGUUAACUCGGAGUGAAACUGAUCAUUCUGUGUUUUAUCGUUCUUAGUCUGGCCGCCACAUUUUUCUAGUGGUAUAUGUUGAUGAUAUAGUACUUACAGGGGAUGAUGAUGUUGGUAUCAUUGAAUUGAAGGCACAUCUUCACCAACAGUUUCAGACUAAGGAUCUGAGUCAUUUGAAAUAUUUUUUGGGUAUUGAGGUAGCUCGGUCAAAGCAAGGCAUCUAUAUUUCUCAAAUGAAGUAUGCCUUAGAUGUGCUAGAGGAGACAUGAUUGCUUGGAUGUAAGCCCACAGAUACCCCUAUGGAUCCAAAUAUCAAGCUGUUAUCGAGACAUGGAGAGCCUCUCUCUGAUCCUGGGCGUUAUCGUUGACUAGUUGAAAAACUUAAUUACCUCACAGUCACUCGUCUUGAUAUUUCAUUUGCUAUGAGUGUGGUAAGUCAGUUCUUGGAUUCACUUUGUGAUAACCACUGGGAUGCAGUGAUUCGUAUUCUUGGAUAUAUUAAGGCUUCUCCUGGUCGGGGUGUAUUGUAUCAAAAUCAUGGGCACAGCCAGAUUGUGGGAUAUACGAAUGCUGAUUGGGCAGGAUCACCUAGUGAUAGGCGAUCCACAUCCGGAUACUAUGUAUUUGUGGGUGGAAACUUAGUCUCUUGGAAAAGUAAGAAACAAAUUGUUGUCGCCAUAUUCAGUGCAGAAGCUGAAUAUAGGGCAAUAAUCGUAAUAACAUGUGAGCUAGUGUGGUUGAAACAAUUAAUUGAAGAGUUAGGAGUUACAUAGGUUAAGUCUAUGCAAUUGGUUUGUAACAACCAAGCUGCAAUGCAUAUUGUUUUUAAUCCUGUGUUUCACGAGAGAACCAAGCAUAUUGAAAUUGAUUGUCAUUUUGUUAGAGAAAAUGUGUUAUCUGGAGAUAUAGUUAUAACAUAUGUGAGUUCCAACGAUCAAUUGGCCGAUUUACUCACUAAGUCGUUUAGAUGUUCUCGUGUGAAUUAUAUUUGUACCAAGUUGAGCAUGCUCAAUAUAUAUGCUCCAGGUUGAGGGGGAGUGUUAAAUAAGAUAAGUAAAGGGUAUUAGUGUAAUUAACUUUAAGUACUUGUAUAUAUACUAUUGUAUUAUACACUUAGUGGAAUAGAGAUUAUUUUAUUCUCAUAAUCACCCUAAGUUUAUGAUGUUACUUUAUUCUCCUUAUUUUCUGGUAAAACACUAUGACGAUCAUUCUGUAACAUGAUUUGUGAUGUUUUAUUCCAGACCUAGUGUGUUUAUAUGAAAAAUGGCCAUCACCGUGUCAGCUAUAACUUUACCAAUUGAGCUGUGCUACCUUGCGGGAGAGGACCUAUGUUAUGUUAAAAGAAUAUUAGUUAUGAAUUCAGAAGUUUUCUCCUAAUCCAACAACUGGUAUAUAUGUGCUAUUUUGUGAUUUUUUUUUUGUAAUGUUACUUCAAGUACUUGGCUAACUCCGAAUUGUACAGGGAAUUGCAACCUUUCUUGUAAAUUAAAAUUAACCUUAAAAGUAUAUUAGAUCUGAUGCCUGAGAAAGGUCCCUGAUAACUUGAGAAAGUGUGUUAUACUGGACGUUCCUUUCUGCUGUGUUUGCUCUCUAUGCACGACGGACAGAAGUCUCACUUUGUUUGAUGAUAAUUUGACAACUCAAAGUUAACUUCGCCAAGUGGUACCUAGCUCGAGUUGUUAACUUUAUUCACUUGGACAUAUUUGUAUCCUUUAUUGUACCAAGAGGGGGUGCAAAACAUCCUCUUCAGCUGGCCUCGCAUACUCGGCUGGAUGUUUAAUGGGGUCAUCAGCUCCAUGAUCAUCUUCUUCUUAACCUCCAAUUCCACCGCUCGCCAGGCCUUCCGGGAA